rnacentral:rRNA from 1 species
CCUACGGGAGGCAGCAGUGAGGAAUAUUGGUCAAUGGACGCAAGUCUGAACCAGCCAUGCCGCGUGCAGGAUGACUGCCCUAUGAGUUGUAAACUUCUUUUGUACGAGGGUAAACGCAGAUACGCGUAUCUGUCUGAAAGUAUCGUACGAAUAAGGAUCGGCUAACUCCGUGCCAGCAGCCGCGGUAAUACGGAGGAUUCGAGCGUUAUCCGGAUUUAUUGGGUUUAAAGGGUGCGUAGGCGGUCGGAUAAGUUAGGGGUGAAAGCCCGAGGCUCAACUUCGGAAUUGCCUCUGAUACUGGCAGGCUAGAGAGUAGUUGCGGUAGGCGGAAUGUGUGGUGUAGCGGUGAAAUGCUUAGAGAUCAUACAGAACACCGAUUGCGAAGGCAGCUUACCAAGCUACUUCUGACGUUGAGGCACGAAAGCGUGGGGAGCAAACAGGAUUAGAUACCCGAGUAGUC